rnacentral:rRNA from 1 species
ACGGCCAUACAUGUUGAAUAUACCGGUUCUCGUUAGAUCACCGAAGUCAAGCAUCAUUGGGCACGGUCAGUACUUGGGUGGGUGACCACCUGGGAACACCGCGUGCCGUUA